UACGGAGGGGGCUAGCGUUGUUCGGAAUUACUGGGCGUAAAGCGCACGUAGGCGGAUCUUUAAGUCAGGGGUGAAAUCCCAAGGCUCAACCUUGGAACUGCCUUUGAUACUGGGGAUCUCGAGUCCGGAAGAGGUUGGUGGAACUGCGAGUGUAGAGGUGAAAUUCGUAGAUAUUCGCAAGAACACCAGUGGCGAAGGCGGCCAACUGGUCCGGUACUGACGCUGAGGUGCGAAAGCGUGGGGAGCAAACAGG
rnacentral:rRNA from 1 species